rnacentral:rRNA from 1 species
AGAGUCCGGAGAGGGAGCUUGAGAAACAGCUACCAUUCCACGGAAGGCAGCAGGCGCGCAAAUGCAAUCCCAAUAGAUUGGGGAGACAGUGAAAAGAAAUAUCAAUGCAGGGCUUUAAGCUUGCAAUUGGAAUGAGUUUAACCCAAAUUCCUUUACAAGUAUCAAUGGAGGGCAAGUGGUGCCAGCAGCCGCGGUAAUUCCAGCUCCAAUAGCGUAUAUUAAAGUUGUUGCAGUUAAAACGGUUGUAGUUGAAAUUUGGUAACAAUAAUGGGUUAUCUCUUUGAGAUAUACCUACGUUGUUAUCAUUGUUGCAUUAUGCACAGGGUAAUGUUUGUGUAUAGUUGGAAUCGUUACUUUGAGAAAAUUAGAGUGUUUCAAGCAGGCGUGAUGCUU